UACUGCAGAAGUUUGGCAGCGGAACUUUCCGUCCCCCAGGACCCGCAAUCAGAGCUGUGCACAGCCUCCCCAGGACGGCGGGUGCUCGCCAACUCCAACGCUGCGGUUGAUGUGAUGACACUGAACUGUUGCCCAGAUCUCCAUGACAUCAUGGAGCCUUAUUCAGGAUUGCCCUAAGCCACAUGAACUGUCCAGAAUGAAAAUUAAAGGAAGGAAGCUGAGACUUAAUUGUGUG
rnacentral:lncRNA from 1 species